rnacentral:lncRNA from 1 species
GAAGAUUGAGAGUAACAUGCUGACAGAAAUGGCUCUUCGAGGUAUCCCUGAUAUCAACAAGGUGUUUAUUAAAAAGGGUAAAACAACCAAAUAUGAUGAUAAUGAAGGAUUUAAGUCGGAAGAUGAGUGGAUGCUGGAUACUGAAGGUGUGAAUCUUUUAGCCGUUAUGUGUCAUGAAGAUGUUGAUGCGAGAAGGACAACAAGCAAUCACUUGAUUGAAAUAAUUGAAGUACUAGGAAUUGAGGCAGUUCGUCGGGCGCUAUUGGAUGAAUUGAGAGUAGUUAUAUCUUUUGAUGGCUCUUAUGUGAAUUACCGACAUCUGGCUAUACUUUGUGAUACGAUGACCUAUCGAGGCCACUUGAUGGCCAUCACUCGUCAUGGCAUCAACAGGAAUGAUACUGGACCAAUGAUGAGAUGUUCAUUUGAAGAAACGGUUGACAUUCUUCUUGAUGCUGCAGUCUUUGCAGAAUCAGAUUAUUUGAGGGGGGUCACUGAGAAUAUAAUGUUAGGUCAGCUUGCGCCUAUUGGGACAGGAGACUGUUCAUUGUAUCUCAAUGAUGAGAUGCUGAAAAAUGCCAUCGAACUUCAGCUUCCUAGUUAUAUGGAAGGUCUGGAGUUUGGCAUGACACCUGCUCGUUCUCCGGUGUCUGGGACUCCUUAUCAUGAUGGCAUGAUGUCUCCAGGUUACUUGUUUAGCCCAAAUCUCCGUCUGUCCCCGGUCACGGAUGCCCAGUUUUCUCCUUAUGUUGGUGGAAUGGCCUUCUCUCCUACUUCAUCACCCGGAUACAGCCCAUCAUCACCAGGCUACAGUCCGUCAUCUCCUGGAUACAGUCCCACGUCACCUGGAUACAGCCCAACUUCGCCUGGAUACAGUCCCACCUCGCCUGGAUAUAGCCCUACCUCACCAACUUAUAGUCCAAGUUCUCCUGGUUAUAGUCCAACCAGUCCUGCCUAUUCUCCUACCAGUCCAUCGUACUCACCUACUUCACCAAGCUAUAGCCCAACCUCCCCAAGUUACAGCCCAACAUCCCCAAGCUACAGCCCGACCUCUCCAAGUUACAGCCCCACUUCUCCCAGUUACAGUCCAACUUCACCAAGCUAUAGCCCCACCUCACCGGCAUAUAGCCCCACCUCACCUGCAUAUAGCCCCACCUCACCUGCAUACAGCCCCACUUCACCAUCGUACAGCCCAACCUCUCCUUCCUACAGCCCAACAUCACCUUCGUACAGCCCUACCUCACCGUCAUACAGCCCCACUUCUCCAUCGUACAGCCCCACUUCACCAGCCUAUAGCCCCACUUCUCCUGGUUAUAGUCCAACUUCACCAAGUUAUAGCCCAACUUCACCAACCUAUAGUCCUACAUCCCCAAGCUACAAUCCUCAGUCUGCCAAAUACAGUCCGUCGCUGGCCUACUCACCAAGUAGUCCAAGAUUAUCUCCUGCCAGUCCGUACAGCCCUACAUCUCCAAAUUACAGGUAAGCCAUAGUGCGAUAUGUGGUCAAGUCUAAUGUUUGUGUUAAAAGCUGUAUCCAAUUUAUUAGGUCUUGUUUUUGAUAGAAUUCUAUAUACUGAAAUAUCUGUUGAACCUAAGACUUGCUGUAGCUGGGGAUUGGACUUGGAUGGGUUUAAAUUAUUAAUGAUUUUAUCUCUGUUGUUUUUAACAUUAUUAUAUCUGGAUGAUUAUGUUGAUGUAUCUUGUAAGCAACUUUUCUUUUUACGCAGUCCAACAUCAUCUUCGUAUUCACCGACAUCUCCCUCUAUGAUACUGGACCAAUGAUGAGAUGUUCAUUUGAAGAAACGGUUGACAUUCUUCUUGAUGCUGCAGUCUUUGCAGAAUCAGAUUAUUUGAGGGGGGUCACUGAGAAUAUAAUGUUAGGUCAGCUUGCGCCUAUUGGGACAGGAGACUGUUCAUUGUAUCUCAAUGAUGAGAUGCUGAAAAAUGCCAUCGAACUUCAGCUUCCUAGUUAUAUGGAAGGUCUGGAGUUUGGCAUGACACCUGCUCGUUCUCCGGUGUCUGGGACUCCUUAUCAUGAUGGCAUGAUGUCUCCAGGUUACUUGUUUAGCCCAAAUCUCCGUCUGUCCCCGGUCACGGAUGCCCAGUUUUCUCCUUAUGUUGGUGGAAUGGCCUUCUCUCCUACUUCAUCACCCGGAUACAGCCCAUCAUCACCAGGCUACAGUCCGUCAUCUCCUGGAUACAGUCCCACGUCACCUGGAUACAGCCCAACUUCGCCUGGAUACAGUCCCACCUCGCCUGGAUAUAGCCCUACCUCACCAACUUAUAGUCCAAGUUCUCCUGGUUAUAGUCCAACCAGUCCUGCCUAUUCUCCUACCAGUCCAUCGUACUCACCUACUUCACCAAGCUAUAGCCCAACCUCCCCAAGUUACAGCCCAACAUCCCCAAGCUACAGCCCGACCUCUCCAAGUUACAGCCCCACUUCUCCCAGUUACAGUCCAACUUCACCAAGCUAUAGCCCCACCUCACCGGCAUAUAGCCCCACCUCACCUGCAUAUAGCCCCACCUCACCUGCAUACAGCCCCACUUCACCAUCGUACAGCCCAACCUCUCCUUCCUACAGCCCAACAUCACCUUCGUACAGCCCUACCUCACCGUCAUACAGCCCCACUUCUCCAUCGUACAGCCCCACUUCACCAGCCUAUAGCCCCACUUCUCCUGGUUAUAGUCCAACUUCACCAAGUUAUAGCCCAACUUCACCAACCUAUAGUCCUACAUCCCCAAGCUACAAUCCUCAGUCUGCCAAAUACAGUCCGUCGCUGGCCUACUCACCAAGUAGUCCAAGAUUAUCUCCUGCCAGUCCGUACAGCCCUACAUCUCCAAAUUACAGGUAAGCCAUAGUGCGAUAUGUGGUCAAGUCUAAUGUUUGUGUUAAAAGCUGUAUCCAAUUUAUUAGGUCUUGUUUUUGAUAGAAUUCUAUAUACUGAAAUAUCUGUUGAACCUAAGACUUGCUGUAGCUGGGGAUUGGACUUGGAUGGGUUUAAAUUAUUAAUGAUUUUAUCUCUGUUGUUUUUAACAUUAUUAUAUCUGGAUGAUUAUGUU